ACCUUGUCAUCGACUUUCCCUCGUAAACGAUGCAGUUUAGGGCCCUUGCUGCCUUCCCGAGACCUUAACUUUGCGGUUUUAUUAAGUUCAUAACGGUGUUUGUCGCCAUCACUAACAGCUUCGUUUAAUGGAAAGGACUCUAAAGAAUGUAUGCGUGAGCCGUUCUCCUUAAGGUCACCUAUUCUCGAUUCGAUCAAGCUUUUAGCUUCCAGAAAAGUUUGCAUACCGAGUCUUAACUU
rnacentral:lncRNA from 1 species